GGGCCCGCACAAGCGGUGGAGCAUGUGGUUUAAUUCGAUGAUACGCGAGGAACCUUACCAGGGCUUAAAUGUAAGUUGCAUGGAUCAGAGAUGAUCCUUUCUUCGGACCACUUACAAGGUGCUGCAUGGUUGUCGUCAGCUCGUGCCGUGAGGUGUCAGGUUAAGUCCUAUAACGAGCGCAACCCCCUAUCGUUAGUUGCCAGCAAGUAAAGUUGGGUACUCUAGCGAGACUGCCGGUGCAAACCGAGAGGAAGGUGGGAUGACGUCAAAUCAUCACGGCCCUUACGUCCUGGGCUACACACGUGCUACAAUGGCCGGUACAGAGAGCAGCCACACGCGAGUGGGAGCGAAUCUUCAAAACCGGUCUC
rnacentral:rRNA from 1 species